GGUUCCGUAGUGUAUUUGUUAUCACAGUCGCUUCACACGCGAAAGGGCUGCGGUUCGAUCCCGGACGGUACCA